AAAUACACUGGGGGAAGGGGGUGGAUCCAGUGGUGCGCCGGGAAUGAACUGACCCAAGUGAGCUGGGACAUGUGCAUACAGAGAGCAGAGGCAGAAGUCAAGGAACUGGAGGCUGAGGAACCCAGCGGACCACGAAAGCAGGGAGAUAACUAGACAGCAUGCUCGGCUGGAAGGACCAAAGUCAGAGAAGGAAAAAUGAAUAAGAAAAUGAGCAGUCAGAGGCAGCUAGGGUGACGGACAGACAGCAUGAAGCGCAGCAGAAUGAAGAGCCAGAAGACUCGGACAGGCAGAGCCGAAGGACCGCAGAGCUCAGCGCCGGAGACAUGAAAACUGAGGCCCAGACCAGCUAAGCAUUUUGAUCACGGUCACCCAGAGCCACAGUGGAGACCAGGAGAAAACUGAUUCCCAGGCCAGUGCUCUUUUGCUUCUACUCGGUCAGAGGUGUGAGGUCCUUC
rnacentral:antisense_RNA from 1 species